rnacentral:rRNA from 1 species
GACGAACGCUGGCGGCGCGCUUAAUACAUGCAAGUCGAGCGAGAACCGGAGCUUCGGCUCCGGGGACAGCGGCGAACGGGUGAGUAACACGUGGGUAACCUGCCCUCGGCACCGGGAUAGCCCGGGGAAACCCGGAUUAAUACCGGAUGGCCCUUUCGGUCUUCGGACCGGUCGGCAAAGGUAGCUUCGGCCUCCGGCCGAGGAUGGGCCCGCGGCGGAUUAGCUUGUUGGUGAGGUAACGGCUCACCAAGGCUCCGAUCCGUAGCUGGUCUGGGAGGAGGAUCAGCCACACUGGGACUGGGACACGGCCCAGACUCCUACGGGAGGCAGCAGUAGGGAAUCUUGCGCAAUGGGCGAAAGCCUGACGCAGCGACGCCGCGUGCGGGAAGACGGCCUUCGGGUUGUAAACCGCUUUCAGGAGGGACGAAGCCACUCGGGUGAAUAGCCCAGAGGGUGACGGUACCUCCAGAAGAAGCCCCGGCUAACUACGUGCCAGCCGCCGCGGUAA